GUCUCGACACCUCUGUUUCAUUACCCCCAAUUGUUCCUGUAUUAAGAGGAAAGGAGGGAGAGAGAAAAGAAGAAGGGAUGGGGGCAUGGUAAAGAGAACUGAGACUAACGAGAGAAGCUGUGGAGUGCAGUUAAUUGCACAGGUGAAAGAGAUCAUGAGCUGCAGGUGAUUAGAUUGAGUUUUUGGAGGCGUGGUCCUGUUCCUGAACUUGUGUUAUACUAACUUCAUUAUGUAAAACAUGAAGUCAGAGCUACGGGAAAUCUGCGGUGAGGAAUCUUUAUUGGCCUCUAUGUGUGAGAUCUCUGUGCAUUCUUCCCCCAGUGUUGCCAGUAAGGUGAUUACUGAGUAUCAUUUCCUCUAGCUGUGGAAACCCAUUUUCUGGGUCAGUGGACCCCACCAAAGGACUGAUUGAGUCUUAAAAGGGGCUCCGUCAAGCAUACGUUUGCUCUCCUUGUACCCGAGACAAUGAGCCCAACUGCUGCAAAGCAAAGCAACAACGCCCUCACAACAUUACCGAGAAACGCUGGAACAUCAGAAGAAAAGAGCGCUAGAGUCAACAAGACAACCAUCAAAUAGAGCCUGAGUCUGAUUUACUGUCUUGAUGUUACCGCCAUGGUUUGGACUGGGACUGUUGGUUGUAAAUAAACAGAGGAUUUGGGGUGUGUUGAUAUGUUUUUGCUGGGGUUCCCGCUGACUCAUAGAGGAAAAUCUGUUACAUGGUGAACAAGCUCGACCUGUUUCACAUUAUUUUAAUCAUCAAAUCAGGUAGAUUCAAAUGUCUAAAUAAACGAAUAUAUGUCAUACUUUUGUA